UUAAGUUAUUAAGGGCGCACGGUGGAUGCCUUGGCACUAGAAGCCGAUGAAGGACGUUACUAACGACGUAUGCUUUGGGGAGCUGUAAGUAAGCUUUGAUCCAGAGAUUUCCGAAUGGGGAAACCCAGCAUGAGUUAUGUCAUGUUAUCGAUAUGUGAAUACAUAGCAUAUCAGAAGGCACACCCGGAGAACUGAAACAUCUUAGUACCCGGAGGAAGAGAAAGAAAAUUCGAUUCCCUUAGUAGCGGCGAGCGAAACGGGAAGAGCCCAAACCAACAAGCUUGCUUGUUGGGGUUGUAGGACACUCUAUACGGAGUUACAAAGGACGACAUUAGACGAAUCAUCUGGAAAGAUGAAUCAAAGAAGGUAAUAAUCCUGUAGUCGAAAAUGUUGUCUCUCUUGAGUGGAUCCUGAGUACGACGGAGCACGUGAAAUUCCGUCGGAAUCUGGGAGGACCAUCUCCUAAGGCUAAAUACUCUCUAGUGACCGAUAGUGAACCAGUACCGUGAGGGAAAGGUGAAAAGCACCCCGGAAGGGGAGUGAAAUAGAACCUGAAACCGUGUGCUUACAAGUAGUCAGAGCCCGUUAAUGGGUGAUGGCGUGCCUUUUGUAGAAUGAACCGGCGAGUUACGAUUUGAUGCAAGGUUAAGCAGUAAAUGUGGAGCCGUAGCGAAAGCGAGUCUGAAUAGGGCGUUUAGUAUUUGGUCGUAGACCCGAAACCAGGUGAUCUACCCUUGGUCAGGUUGAAGUUCAGGUAACACUGAAUGGAGGACCGAACCGACUUACGUUGAAAAGUGAGCGGAUGAACUGAGGGUAGCGGAGAAAUUCCAAUCGAACCUGGAGAUAGCUGGUUCUCUCCGAAAUAGCUUUAGGGCUAGCCUCAAGUGAUGAUUAUUGGAGGUAGAGCACUGUUUGGACGAGGGGCCCCUCUCGGGUUACCGAAUUCAGACAAACUCCGAAUGCCAAUUAAUUUAACUUGGGAGUCAGAACAUGGGUGAUAAGGUCCGUGUUCGAAAGGGAAACAGCCCAGACCACCAGCUAAGGUCCCAAAAUAUAUGUUAAGUGGAAAAGGAUGUGGCGUUGCCCAGACAACUAGGAUGUUGGCUUAGAAGCAGCCAUCAUUUAAAGAGUGCGUAAUAGCUCACUAGUCGAGUGACACUGCGCCGAAAAUGUACCGGGGCUAAACAUAUUACCGAAGCUGUGGAUUGUCCUUUGGACAAUGGUAGGAGAGCGUUCUAAGGGCGUUGAAGCAUGAUCGUAAGGACAUGUGGAGCGCUUAGAAGUGAGAAUGCCGGUGUGAGUAGCGAAAGACGGGUGAGAAUCCCGUCCACCGAUUGACUAAGGUUUCCAGAGGAAGGCUCGUCCGCUCUGGGUUAGUCGGGUCCUAAGCUGAGGCCGACAGGCGUAGGCGAUGGAUAACAGGUUGAUAUUCCUGUACCACCUAUAAUCGUUUUAAUCGAUGGGGGGACGCAGUAGNAUAGGCGAAGCGUGCGAUUGGAUUGCACGUCUAAGCAGUAAGGCUGAGUAUUAGGCAAAUCCGGUACUCGUUAAGGCUGAGCUGUGAUGGGGAGAAGACAUUGUGUCUUCGAGUCGUUGAUUUCACACUGCCGAGAAAAGCCUCUAGAUAGAAAAUAGGUGCCCGUACCGCAAACCGACACAGGUAGUCAAGAUGAGAAUUCUAAGGUGAGCGAGCGAACUCUCGUUAAGGAACUCGGCAAAAUGACCCCGUAACUUCGGGAGAAGGGGUGCUCUUUAGGGUUAACGCCCAGAAGAGCCGCAGUGAAUAGGCCCAAGCGACUGUUUAUCAAAAACACAGGUCUCUGCUAAACCGUAAGGUGAUGUAUAGGGGCUGACGCCUGCCCGGUGCUGGAAGGUUAAGAGGAGUGGUUAGCUUCUGCGAAGCUACGAAUCGAAGCCCCAGUAAACGGCGGCCGUAACUAUAACGGUCCUAAGGUAGCGAAAUUCCUUGUCGGGUAAGUUCCGACCCGCACGAAAGGCGUAACGAUUUGGGCACUGUCUCAACGAGAGACUCGGUGAAAUCAUAGUACCUGUGAAGAUGCAGGUUACCCGCGACAGGACGGAAAGACCCCGUGGAGCUUUACUGUAGCCUGAUAUUGAAAUUCGGCACAGCUUGUACAGGAUAGGUAGGAGCCUUUGAAACGUGAGCGCUAGCUUACGUGGAGGCGCUGGUGGGAUACUACCCUAGCUGUGUUGGCUUUCUAACCCGCACCACUUAUCGUGGUGGGAGACAGUGUCAGGCGGGCAGUUUGACUGGGGCGGUCGCCUCCUAAAAGGUAACGGAGGCGCUCAAAGGUUCCCUCAGAAUGGUUGGAAAUCAUUCAUAGAGUGUAAAGGCAUAAGGGAGCUUGACUGCGAGACCUACAAGUCGAGCAGGGUCGAAAGACGGACUUAGUGAUCCGGUGGUUCCGCAUGGAAGGGCCAUCGCUCAACGGAUAAAAGCUACCCCGGGGAUAACAGGCUUAUCUCCCCCAAGAGUUCACAUCGACGGGGAGGUUUGGCACCUCGAUGUCGGCUCAUCGCAUCCUGGGGCUGUAGUCGGUCCCAAGGGUUGGGCUGUUCGCCCAUUAAAGCGGUACGCGAGCUGGGUUCAGAACGUCGUGAGACAGUUCGGUCCCUAUCCGUCGUGGGCGUAGGAAAUUUGAGAGGAGCUGUCCUUAGUACGAGAGGACCGGGAUGGACAUACCUCUGGUGUACCAGUUGUCGUGCCAACGGCAUAGCUGGGUAGCUAUGUGUGGACGGGAUAAGUGCUGAAAGCAUCUAAGCAUGAAGCCCCCCUCAAGAUGAGAUUUCCCAACUUCGGUUAUAAGAUCCCUCAAAGAUGAUGAGGUUAAUAGGUUCGAGGUGGAAGCAUGGUGACAUGUGGAGCUGACGAAUACUAAUCGAUCGAAGACUUAAUCAA
rnacentral:rRNA from 1 species